GUGUUUAUAGUAUACUCAAUACCCUUACUUUUCACGUAAGAAAUACAUUUAUGUUAAACACA
rnacentral:tRNA from 1 species